GGAGAUCAGGAGUAGGAGUAGAUCAUCGAUGGUAUGUACUCGGAGGUGAUGAUCUAAAUACAUCUAUUAUAUAAGCAAUGUUCUUCAUGUCAUCCAGUCUAUUAGCAACUUAUUGCCUCCUUCUAUGCUUUCUGUCUAUCAUGGAUAUGCUUGUUCCUAGUCUAGUUCCGGAUUAGAUUAUCUAGCAUGCUUGUGUAAUCAUGGUGAUUAGAUCUAGUAUGUUGAUCCUUCAUGAUAGUUAGACAUGUUCACCUGUGUUCGUGCCCUUAAUUGCCUGCGCUGAUACGAGGGAUCGUGACAUGAUCUGCUUCCAUGUAGGGUGGGGGAUUUUAGGAGGUUGACCAGAGGUAGUAGUUUAAAGAUUGCUUUGGAUGAGAUGCAUGAUUUGCUUGCUUAUUAGCAAGAUCUACAACUAGAAGAUGAUAGGUCCUUGUUACCCAUAGUUAUGCUAUCUCAUAUGAGUCUAUGGAUGCGAUCAAUCUAUUCUCUAUCACUCAUAUCUAUUAUGUUUACCUUUAGAUGCAAUCGAUGCUUCAUGUUAGGAUUAGAUUCAUUGAGUUAGAUAGAAAACCCUAGUUAGUUCGCUGCUGAUCCACGGAUUGAUAAACCUUAGAUGGAAUACUCUAAGGGAAAAGCUACAAUGAUUCGUGCACUUGCGGUUCACAAAUUGGCGCGCUAACUGCCGUCAUCAAGCUUUUCUGGCACCGUUGCCGAGGAUCGGCAACUCGAACCCUCGGGUGAUCUAUCUAAUUUUUUGGACUACCCCUAAUUCUUUUUAUUGCAUAUACCCUAUUUUUCUUGUUUGUGUCCUUGAAUGUAGGUAAAUACUAGAUGCUAGAUGAUCGAAUAUGGACUUUCAUCAAGUCUGGAUUCACUCUGAUAAGAUGAUAACAACAUCAAGCUCAACUCUUUAGCAGUAGGUGCUAACUUUGUUAGUGGCCCAGCAUCUGCUAUGAGUCCACACCAAUGAAGACAAUACAAAUGCUUAUAAGCAAGUUAUGCCGCUAUGUCAAUUAAUUUCUAAAGAUUAAUGUUUCUUGGAGAUUUGUUUGUUCAAGUAAAAGGUGUUGGAAGCAACCAUGUCAAGCAAAAAGGGACGAUUGGUGGGCCUCUCUACAUAGAAGGUGAUGAUUUCGAGAUGAUCAAUACUGGAGGCAACAAGAUUUGAAGAACCUUGACACUACCAAUUUUCUCUAGUAGGAUGCUUAAGAGCUUCUAAUUGAGUGAUGCAAUCAAGGAAGAAAACUG
rnacentral:lncRNA from 1 species